rnacentral:ncRNA from 2 species
CUGCUCAGUACGAGAGGAA